rnacentral:rRNA from 1 species
CCUACGGGUGGCAGCAGUGAGGAAUAUUGGUCAAUGGGCGCGAGCCUGAACCAGCCAAGUAGCGUGAAGGAUGACUGCCCUACGGGUUGUAAACUUCUUUUAUAAAGGAAUAAAGUGAGGCACGUUUGCCUUUUUGUAUGUACUUUAUGAAUAAGGAUCGGCUAACUCCGUGCCAGACGCCGCGUUAAUACGGAGGAUCCGAGCGUUAUCCGGAUUUAUUGGGUUUAAAGGGAGCGUCGAUGGGUUGUUAUGUCGGUGGUGAAAGUUUGCGGCUAAACCGUAAAAUUGCAAUUGAUACUGGCAGGCUUGAGUACAGUUGAGGUAGGCGGAAUGCGUGGUGUAGCGGUGAAAUGCUUAGAUAUCACGAAGAACUCCGAUUGCGAAGGCAGCUUACUAAACUGCCACUGACAUUGAUGCUCGAAAGUGUGGGUAUCAAACAGGAUUAGAUACCCCUGUAGUC